rnacentral:rRNA from 1 species
AAAAAAGGUAAGCUACUAAGAGCGAAUGGUGGAUGCCUUGACUGGUAAAGGCGAUGAAGGACGUACUAGACUGCGAUAAGCUACGGGGAGCUGUCAAGAAGCUUUGAUCCGUAGAUUUCCGAAUGGGGCAACCCAAUGUAUAGAGAUAUACAUUACCUAUAUAGGAGCGAACGAGGGGAAUUGAAACAUCUUAGUACCCUCAGGAAAAGAAAUCAAUAGAGAUUGCGUCAGUAGCGGCGAGCGAAAGCGCAAGAGGGCAAACCCAGUGCUUGCACUGGGGGUUGUAGGACUGCAAUGUGCAAGAGGUGAGUUUAGCAGAACAUUCUGGAAAGUAUAGCCAUAGAGGGUGAUAGUCCCGUAUGCGAAAAACAAACCUUAGCUAGCAGUAUCCUGAGUAGGGCGGGACACGAGAAAUCCUGUCUGAAGCUGGGUCGACCACGAUCCAACCCUAAAUACUAAUACCAGAUCGAUAGUGCACAAGUACCGUGAGGGAAAGGUGAAAAGAACUGAGGUGAUCAGAGUGAAAUAGAACCUGAAACCAUUUGCUUACAAUCAUUCAGAGCACUAUGUAGCAAUACAGUGUGAUGGACUGCCUUUUGCAUAAUGAGCCUGCGAGUUGUGGUGUCUGGCAAGGUUAAGCAAACGCGAAGCCGUAGCGAAAGCGAGUCUGAAUAGGGCGCUUAGUCAGAUGCUGCAGACCCGAAACGAAGUGAUCUAUCCAUGAGCAAGUUGAAGCUAGUGUAAGAACUAGUGGAGGACUGAACCCAUAGGCGUUGAAAAGCCCCGGGAUGACUUGUGGAUAGGGGUGAAAGGCCAAUCAAACUUCGUGAUAGCUGGUUCUCUCCGAAAUAUAUUUAGGUAUAGCGUUGUGUCGUAAUAUAAGGGGGUAGAGCACUGAAUGGGCUAGGGCAUACACCAAUGUACCAAACCCUAUCAAACUCCGAAUACCUUAUAUGUAAUCACAGCAGUCAGGCGGCGAGUGAUAAAAUCCGUCGUCAAGAGGGAAACAACCCAGACUACCAGCUAAGGUCCCUAAAUCUUACUUAAGUGGAAAACGAUGUGAAGUUACUUAAACAACCAGGAGGUUGGCUUAGAAGCAGCCAUCCUUUAAAGAAAGCGUAAUAGCUCACUGGUCUAGUGAUUUUGCGCGGAAAAUAUAACGGGGCUAAAGUAAGUACCGAAGCUGUAGACUUGAUUUUAUCAAGUGGUAGGAGAGCGUUCUAUUUGCGCCGAAGGUAUACCGGUAAGGAGUGCUGGAGCGAAUAGAAGUGAGCAUGCAGGCAUGAGUAGCGAUAAUUAAUGUGAGAAUCAUUAACGCCGUAAACCCAAGGUUUCCUACGCGAUGCUCGUCAUCGUAGGGUUAGUCGGGUCCUAAGUCGAGUCCGAAAGGGGUAGACGAUGGCAAAUUGGUUAAUAUUCCAAUACCAACAUUAGUGUGCGAUGGAAGGACGCUUAGGGCUAAGGGGGCUAGCGGAUGGAAGUGCUAGUCUAAGGUCGUAGGAGGUUAUACAGGCAAAUCCGUAUAACAUACUCCGAGAACUGAAAGGCUUUUUGAAGUCUUCGGAUGGAUAGAAGAACCCCUGAUGCCGUCGAGCCAAGAAAAGUUUCUAAGUUUAGCUAAUGUUGCCCGUACCGUAAACCGACACAGGUGGGUGGGAUGAGUAUUCUAAGGCGCGUGGAAGAACUCUCUUUAAGGAACUCUGCAAAAUAGCACCGUAUCUUCGGUAUAAGGUGUGGUUCGCUUCGUAUUAGGAUUUACUCCGAAAGCGAAGAAACUUACAACAAAGAGUCCCUCCCGACUGUUUACCAAAAACACAGCACUCUGCUAACUCGUAAGAGGAUGUAUAGGGUGUGACGCCUGCCCGGUGCUCGAAGGUUAAUUGAUGGGGUUAGCAUUAGCGAAGCUCUUGAUCGAAGCCCGAGUAAACGGCGGCCGUAACUAUAACGGUCCUAAGGUAGCGAAAUUCCUUGUCGGUUAAAUACCGACCUGCAUGAAUGGCGUAACGAGAUGGGAGCUGUCUCAAAGAGGGAUCCAGUGAAAUUGUAGUGGAGGUGAAAAUUCCUCCUACCCGCGGCAAGACGGAAAGACCCCGUGGACCUUUACUACAGCUUGACACUGCUAUUUGGAUAAGAAUGUGCAGGAUAGGUGGGAGGCUUUGAGUAUAUGACGCCAGUUGUAUAUGAGCCAUUGUUGAGAUACCACUCUUUCUUAUUUGGGUAGCUAACCAGCUUGAGUUAUCCUCAAGUGGGACAAUGUCUGGUGGGUAGUUUGACUGGGGCGGUCGCCUCCCAAAUAAUAACGGAGGCUUACAAAGGUUGGCUCAGAACGGUUGGAAAUCGUUCGUAGAGUAUAAAGGUAUAAGCCAGCUUAACUGCAAGACAUACAAGUCAAGCAGAGACGAAAGUCGGUCUUAGUGAUCCGGUGGUUCUGUGUGGAAGGGCCAUCGCUCAAAGGAUAAAAGGUACCCCGGGGAUAACAGGCUGAUCUCCCCCAAGAGCUCACAUCGACGGGGAGGUUUGGCACCUCGAUGUCGGCUCAUCGCAUCCUGGGGCUGGAGCAGGUCCCAAGGGUAUGGCUGUUCGCCAUUUAAAGCGGUACGCGAGCUGGGUUCAGAACGUCGUGAGACAGUUCGGUCCCUAUCUGCCGUGGGCGUAAGAAGAUUGAAGAGAUUUGACCCUAGUACGAGAGGACCGGGUUGAACAAACCACUGGUGUAGCUGUUGUUCUGCCAAGAGCAUCGCAGCGUAGCUAAGUUUGGAAAGGAUAAACGCUGAAAGCAUCUAAGCGUGAAGCCAACUCUAAGAUGAAUCUUCUCUAAGCUCUCUAGAAGACUACUAGUUUGAUAGGCUGGGUGUGUAAUGGAUGAAAGUCCUUUAGCUGACCAGUACUAAUAGAGCGUUUGGCUUAUCUUUAAUAAAGCAU